rnacentral:rRNA from 1 species
UACGGGGGGGGCAAGCGUUGUUCGGAAUUACUGGGCGUAAAGGGCGCGUAGGCGGUUCGCUAAGUUGAAUGUGAAAACUCUGGGCUUAACCCAGAGCCUGCAUCCAAAACUGGCGAACUGGAGUACUGGAGGGGAAAGCGGAAUUCCUGGUGUAGCGGUGAAAUGCGUAGAUAUCAGGAGGAACACCGGUGGCGAAGGCGGCAUCCUGGACCAACACUGACGCUGAGGAGCGAAAGCCAGGGGAGCAAACGGG